rnacentral:rRNA from 1 species
UGUUGCCUACGGGGGGCAGCAGUAGGGAAUCUUCCACAAUGGGCGAAAGCCUGAUGGAGCAACGCCGCGUGGGUGAAGAAGGUCUUCGGAUCGUAAAACCCUGUUGUUAGGGAAGAAAGUGCGUGAGAGUAACUGUUCACGUUUCGACGGUAUCUAACCAGAAAGCCACGGCUAACUACGUGCCAGCAGCCGCGGUAAUACGUAGGGGGCAAGCGUUAUCCGGAUUUAUUGGGCGUAAAGGGAACGCAGGCGGUCUUUUUAUUCUGAUGUGGAAGCCUUCGGCUUAACCGGAGUAGUGCAUUGGA